rnacentral:rRNA from 1 species
CCUACGGGAGGCAGCAGUGAGGCAUAUUGGUCAAUGGUCGGGAGACUGAACCAGCCAAGCCGCGUGAGGGAUGAAGGUACAGAGUAUCGUAAACCUCUUUUGUCAGGGAACAAAGGCGGGGACGUGUCCCCGGAUUAGUGUACCUGAAGAAAAAGCAUCGGCUAACUACGUGCCAGCAGCCGCGGUAAUACGGAGGAUGCGAGCGUUAUCCGGAUUUAUUGGGUUUACAGGGUGCGCAGGCGGUCUUGUAAGUCAGCGGUAAAAGCCCGGUGCUCAACCCCGGCCCGCCGUUGACACUGGCAGUCUCUAUUUGGAGAGAAGUAUGCGGAAUGCGCGGUGUAGCGGUGAAAUGCUUAGAUAUCGCGCAGAACUCCGAUUGCGAAGGCAGCAUGCCGGCUCCACACUGACGCUGAGGCACGAAAGCGUGGGUAUCGAACAGGAUUAGAUACCCCUGUAGUC